UACGGAGGGGGCGAGCGUUAUUCGGAAUUAUUGGGCGUAAAGCGUCCGCAGGCGGUCAACCAAGUUCGUGGUGACAGUCUCCAGCUCAACUGGAGAAGGCCCAUGAAGACUGGUUGACUUGAGGGCUUCAGAGGGACAUGGAAUUCCGGGUGGAGUGGUGAAAUGCGUAGAGAUCCGGAGGAACACCAAAGGCGCAGGCAGUGUCCGUGGGAAGUACCUGACGCUCAGGGACGAAAGCUAGGGGAGCGA
rnacentral:rRNA from 1 species